ensembl:lncRNA
CUUACUAACACAGAUUUAGACAGAUUUGUGAAGAAUAUUUGAGAGAAAUAGGCCUUUUGUGUUCAUAGAAAAAGUCUUAGAUCUUUGAGUUCAGCUCAUGAUAAAAGGGGGCAAAAACAAAAGUUGUUCAGUGUAUUUGCAAAGCUAGCAUAGCAUACAAUGGGCAGAAACAUUGUUGAAAGACAAUUACAAACAAGUUCAACUUUUGAACAGGGAGUGUAAAAGAAACCAAAGAAUUAGAAACCUACAUAGGACUCUUUGGGGAUUUUGGAAUUUGCACUGUGCAAUCAAUGAAAGACCACUUACACGGAAGUUCGGAAGCACAGCGUGUGAAGUAAAUAUCCACCUCCUUCAUCACUCAAAGAACUGGAGGCUUUUCUUCUUGACUAAUGGGGUUCCAUCUGCCUGGAACUGAAAGAUGAGAGAGACCGGCAUCAGUUUCCACCGGCUAAUACGACGCAACACAACGAGCUGGCCCAAAGCACGUCAGCUGUAGCCAAUGUAUCACAUUAGUAGCAGACUUAAUGCUAUGAGAUGUAACUGCGUGGCUAAAAGAACAGUGCAUCACCAGGCAGACAAGGCCAGCUUCCAUUAGGCCCUAGCCAUUUCUUCUCUGUUAAUCUUUGAUGGGACUGUCAUGUGAGGAUAAAUGCCAAACAGCUCUACCUCUUUCACUGGGUCUUUGAUUUGUGACCUGAAUGCACUUAAUCUCAAUGGCAUUAUAGAUUUAUACCUAUUUUUAUGUAGAGAAUCACCUUGGAUUUUCUAGAUAUAGAUGGAAUCAAUGCGUUAUAGUUAUUUGUGGAUGAAAGGAAGUCUCAUUUAUAUGAACCGGGUAGAGGAAGUCUCAUGUCUUUCUCUUUGGAUAGCCUGCUUGAGUGAGGAACAGAUUACCAUUUCUGUACAUGACAUACAAUUAAUUGCUGUAUGUGACAACUUGGCUUGAUCUGAACUGAUCACUACCCAUUGAGAAAACCAGAAACAUUCCCAAAACAUUAGCUAACAUUACUUCUAUUUAGAAAGUAAGCUAACAUCUGUUUGAUAACAUUGCACAAACAUUCAAGUAAUCUUUUUGAUCCCCAAAUAUCUUUCAAGCAAUGUUUCAAAUAGAAUAUUCCUGGAUGGUCCACCUAAAUAAAAUAUUUUUCACAAUAUCUGUAACCACAAAGAACAUGAGUGUAAGAUUCCCAUUAUUACACCCUGGAAUAGAUGAGGUAAAAAGAUUGAUCCAAACAUUGGAAAUUAUUGGGAAAGAUGGGAAUAUGUCAUCUGAGAAAGAUCUAGUUUCUUCUCAGUUUCUUCCCCAUCAAAAGUAUUCCACAUUUACUAUUAUAUAUUUACAAUUAUAUCACCAUGCUCUCAAAGGCCAGAUGUACAAUAGCAUAAAUACUAUAUCUGUAUCAUAAAUACUAUACCUGUAUCCACAAAUACUGAAUGAUGGUAUGUCAGCAUAACAUGUUAGGUACCAC